UAAGAACAAGUCAAAUUGUAUAAACUUGAUGUGAUUCAGCCAAUAAAGGUGCUUACUACCAUAUCGAAAUAUGAACUCAAAUCAAGCUUAAUUGAUUAUUUAAUUUGGUCAUGUUAACUACAAAGAGUUCCAACCUUACAAAUUUUUUAAGCUUAAUGUGAUUCAGCCAUAACUAUGAUGUAACCCUUGAUAUCAACCUUGGAAACCCCUGCUUUCCUGAAUUAGAUUCUCUUCGUCUGCAACUUAACAAAUUAUCUACUAGCUCAAAACUCCACAUCAGCGCAACUGAUUUGAUUUCUGAAAAAAUAAUUAUACUAUUCACAAAUUGGCCAAUAAGUAUUGAGAAAGUCAAAUUGAUUGCUUUUAAUGGAAAUAUCUUUUAUCUCCAUUGGAUAGGGCAUAACCGUAGAACACUAGUGAGGUUAUAUAAAUGGUUACUGAUAACCAGCCGACUGAUUAAUUAGGUGCAAAACGUUGUGGUAUGAAUAACUAAGAUAUAUAAAAUGCAAUUUUGCAGCAUUUCCUUCAUGAAAAAUGAAACAAUUUUGUAACUUUUGGUUCAUUGAGAAAGAUGUUUGACAACUAGACGUUUCCAAAAACGAUUGCCCUGCGAAAGCGAAGGUGAAGAUAAUUAGCAAGUGAAUCAGCAAUAACCAUCGAUUCAGUUUCACGUCAAAAAUCAGGUCGCCUUCUUAUGAAUUAGUGCCUUUGAAAAUUAUGAGAUCAGCUCGCUUUCUUAUGAAAUUAUUUGGAUAUUAUUCAGUUUUAGGUUGCCUUCAUAUGAAAUUAUUUAGAAAUUAUUCAGUCUCAGUUGCCUUCUCAUGAAUUUUUUUUUUGGGGAAUUUUUCAGUUUCAGGUUGACAUCUUACGUAUGAACAGAAUUUUAAAAGAAGAAAUUAUCCAGUUUCAGUUUGCCUUCGUAUGAAAAUAUUUAUAUUCUUAAUCGGAAAAAUUAGAAUGCCACUAAUCAUCUAUAAAUAAUCGAAACCUCCGUUAACAUUAACAUAAUAUACGUACGAUAACAAAUCUUUUCUUACAAGUUCGAUGAAUGGAGAAAUCAUCUGCUCUCUUCCUUUUUACUUGCGUUUGUUUCAUUUUAACCAUCGUCCCAACUAGACGUUUCCAAAAACAAUUGGUCUGCGAAAGCGAAGGUGAAGAUAAUUAGCAACUAAGAUAUAUAAAAUACAAUUUUGCAGCAUUUUCUUCAUGAAAAAUGAAACAAUUUUGCAACUUUUGGUUCAUUGAGAAAAAUGUUUGACAACUAGACGUUUCCAAAAACGAUUGGCCUGCGAAAGCAAAGGUGAAAAUAAUUAGCAGCUAAGAUAUAUAAAAUGCAAUUUUGCAGCAUUUUCUUCAUGAAAAAUGAAACAAUUUUGUAACUUUUGGUUCAUUGAGAAAGAUGUUUGACAACUAGACGUUUCCAAAAACGAUUGGCCUGCGAAAGCAAAGGUGAAAAUAAUUAGCAGCUAAGAUAUAUAAAAUGCAAUUUUGCAGCAUUUUCUUCAUGAAAAAUGAAACAAUUUUGUAACUUUUGGUUCAUUGAGAAAGAUGUUUGACAACUAGACGUUUCCAAGAACGAUUGGCUUGCGAAAGCGAAGGUGAAGAUAAUUAGCAAUUAAGAUAUAUAAAAUGCAAUUUUGCAGCAUUUUCUUCAUGAAAAAUGAAACAAUCUUACAACUUUUGGUUUAUUGAGAAAGAUGUUUGACAACUAAACGUUUCCAAAAAUGAUUCGCCUGCGAAAGCGAAGGUGAAGAUAAUUAGCAAGUGAAUCAGCAAUAACCAUCGAUUCAGUUUCACGUCAAAAACCAGGUCGCCUUCUUAUGAAUUAAUGUCUUUGAAAAUUAUGAGAUCAGCUCGCUUUCUUAUGAAAUUAUUUGGAUGUUAUUCAGUUUUAGGUUGCCUUAUUUUGAAAUUAUUUAGAAAUUAUUCAGUCUCAGUUGCCUUCUCAUGAAUUUUUUUUUUUUGGGAAUUUUUCAGUUUCAGGUGGACAUCUUAUGUAUGAACAGAAUUUUAAAAGAAGAAAUUAUCCAGUUUCAGUUUGCCUUCGUAUGAAUAUAUUUAUAUUCUUAAUCGGAAAAAUUAAAAUGCCACUGAUCAUCUAUAAAUAAUCGAAACCUCCGUUAACAUUAAAAUCAAUAUACGUACGAUAACAAAUCUUUUCUUACAAGUUCGAUGAAUGGAGAAAUCAUCUGCUCUCUUCCUUUUUACUUGUGUUUGAUUCAUUUUAACCAUCGUCCUAACUAGACGUUUCCAAAAAUGAUUGGCCUGCGAAAGCGUAGGUGAAGAUAAUUAGCAACUAAGAUAAAUAAAAUACAAUUUUGCAGCAUUUUCUUCAUGAAAAAUGAAACAAUCUUACAACUUUUGGUUUAUUGAGAAAGAUGUUUGACAACUAAACGUUUCCAAAAAUGAUUCGCCUGCGAAAGCGAAGGUGAAGAUAAUUAGCAAGUGAAUCAGCAAUAACCAUCGAUUCAGUUUCACGUCAAAAACCAGGUCGCCUUCUUAUGAAUUAAUGUCUUUGAAAAUUAUGAGAUCAGCUCGCUUUCUUAUGAAAUUAUUUGGAUGUUAUUCAGUUUUAGGUUGCCUUAUUUUGAAAUUAUUUAGAAAUUAUUCAGUCUCAGUUGCCUUCUCAUGAAUUUUUUUUUUUUGGGAAUUUUUCAGUUUCAGGUGGACAUCUUAUGUAUGAACAGAAUUUUAAAAGAAGAAAUUAUCCAGUUUCAGUUUGCCUUCGUAUGAAUAUAUUUAUAUUCUUAAUCGGAAAAAUUAAAAUGCCACUGAUCAUCUAUAAAUAAUCGAAACCUCCGUUAACAUUAAAAUCAAUAUACGUACGAUAACAAAUCUUUUCUUACAAGUUCGAUGAAUGGAGAAAUCAUCUGCUCUCUUCCUUUUUACUUGUGUUUGAUUCAUUUUAACCAUCGUCCUAACUAGACGUUUCCAAAAAUGAUUGGCCUGCGAAAGCGUAGGUGAAGAUAAUUAGCAACUAAGAUAAAUAAAAUACAAUUUUGCAGCAUUUUCUUCAUGAAAAAUGAAACAAUUUUGUAAUUUUUGGUUCAUUGAGAAAGAUGGUUGACAACUAGACGUUUCCAAGAACGAUUGGCCUCCGAAAGCGAAUGUGAAGAUAAUUAGCAACUAUACUCUGAGCUCGGUUCAUCAAUUAAUUAAUCUCUCUUCUCAGGGCAUUUACUUGUCUUAGAAAGUUUUUUAUCACCUUUAAUUACAAUUGCAUCAAGACAUGGAUCUUCGACUUCCUCAAAUUGAAGUUGCUUACGGCAUUAAAGUUUUCAAGUUUUGAUAUGUUGUGUAAAAAAUAUUCAACUAGCUGCCCGAAGUAUUCCUAAACUUCUAUCGUUUUAUACAAACAAAAUAAAAUCCAAGCCAUGUUAUUUAUUUAUUUAUUUAUUUAUUUUUGGGCAAGACUAGUAUCUUGAUCAUUUUCACUAGUAGGUUAGAUACCACCAGUUUGUUAGGAUUGAAUUGAGCACAUUGAUCAAUUAAUCUUCAGUGAUGAACCAACAUUGACGUAAUCUAUGAACAAUUUGAGGCUUAAAAAAAUAAUCAAUUGAAAACAAAGAAAGAUACAAGAAAACCGAGACUCAAUAAGAACAAGUCAAAUUGUAUAAACUUGAUGUGAUUCAGCCAAUAAAGGUGCUUACUACCAUAUCGAAAUAUGAACUCAAAUCAAGCUUAAUUGAUUAUUUAAUUUGGUCAUGUUAACUACAAAGAGUUCCAACCUUACAAAUUUUUUAAGCUUAAUGUGAUUCAGCCAUAACUAUGAUGUAACCCUUGAUAUCAACCUUGGAAACCCCUGCUUUCCUGAAUUAGAUUCUCUUCGUCUGCAACUUAACAAAUUAUCUACUAGCUCAAAACUCCACAUCAGCGCAACUGAUUUGAUUUCUGAAAAAAUAAUUAUACUAUUCACAAAUUGGCCAAUAAGUAUUGAGAAAGUCAAAUUGAUUGCUUUUAAUGGAAAUAUCUUUUAUCUCCAUUGGAUAGGGCA
rnacentral:lncRNA from 1 species